rnacentral:rRNA from 1 species
UACAGAGACUGCGAGCGUUAUUCGGAUUCACUGGGCGGAAAGGGUGCGCAGGCGGCCAAGUGUGUUAGGCGUGAAAGCCCGAGGCUUAACCUCGGAAUUGCACCUAAAACUACUUGGCUAGAGUACUGGAGAGGGAAACGGAAUUCACGGUGUAGCAGUGAAAUGCGUAGAUAUCAAGUGGAACACCAGUGGCGAAGGCGAGUCUCUGGACAUUUCCUGACGCUGAGGCACGAAAGCCAGGGGAGCAAACGGG